GUCUGCCUUGAAGAUCGGAGUGCUUGCACUCUGUGAAACAAGAUACAGGCUAGCGGCGGACGGGUGAGUAACACGUGGGUAACCUGCCCAAGAGAUCGGGAUAACACCUGGAAACAGAUGCUAAUACCAGAUAACAACAGAUGAUGCCUAUCAACUGUUUAAAAGAUGGUUCUGCUAUCACUCUUGGAUGGACCUGCGGUGCAUUAGCUAGUUGGUAGGGUAACGGCCUACCAAGGCGAUGAUGCAUAGCCGAGUUGAGAGACUGAUCGGCCACAUUGGGACUGAGACACGGCCCAAACUCCUACGGGAGGCAGCAGUAGGGAAUCUUCCACAAUGGACGCAAGUCUGAUGGAGCAACGCCGCGUGAGUGAAGAAGGGUUUCGGCUCGUAAAGCUCUGUUGUUGGUGAAGAAGGACGGGGGUAGUAACUGACCUUUGUUUGACGGUAAUCAAUUAGAAAGUCACGGCUAACUACGUGCCAGCAGCCGCGGUAAUACGUAGGUGGCAAGCGUUGUCCGGAUUUAUUGGGCGUAAAGCGAGUGCAGGCGGUUCGAUAAGUCUGAUGUGAAAGCCUUCGGCUCAACCGGAGAAUUGCAUCAGAAACUGUCGAGCUUGAGUACAGAAGAGGAGAGUGGAACUCCAUGUGUAGCGGUGAAAUGCGUAGAUAUAUGGAAGAACACCGGUGGCGAAGGCGGCUCUCUGGUCUGUUACUGA
rnacentral:rRNA from 1 species